rnacentral:rRNA from 1 species
GGCGAACGCUGGCGGCGUGCCUAAUACAUGCAAGUCGAGCGAAUGGAAGGGAGCUUGCUCCCUGAAGUUAGCGGCGGACGGGUGAGUAACACGUGGGCAACCUGCCUGUAAGACUGGGAUAACUUCGGGAAACCGGAGCUAAUACCGGAUACGUUCUUUCCUCGCAUGAGGAAAGAUGGAAAGAUGGUUUCGGCUAUCACUUACAGAUGGGCCCGCGGCGCAUUAGCUAGUUGGUGGGGUAAUGGCCCACCAAGGCGCCGAUGCGUAGCCGACCUGGGGGGGUGAUCGGCCACACUGGGACUGAGACACGGCCCAGACUCCUACGGGAGGCAGCAGUAGGGAAUCUUCCGCAAUGGACGAAAGUCUGACGGAGCAACGCCGCGUGAGCGAAGAAGGCCUUCGGGUCGUAAAGCUCUGUUGUCAGGGAAGAACAAGUGCCAGAGUAACUGCUGGCACCUUGACGGUACCUGACCAGAAAGCCACGGCUAACUACGUGCCAGCAGCCGCCGUAACAC